AGGACGAACGCUGGCGGCGUGCUUAACACAUGCAAGUCGAACGGUAAGGCCCCUUCGGGGGUACACGAGUGGCGAACGGGUGAGUAACACGUGAGUAACCUGCCCUUGACUCUGGGAUAACAGUUGGAAACAGCUGCUAAUACCGGAUACUCAACCUCUGAGGCAUCUUCGAGGUUGGAAAGUUCCGGCGGUCAAGGAUGGACUCGCGGGCUAUCAGCUUGUUGGUGAGGUAAUGGCUCACCAAGGCUUCGACGGGUA
rnacentral:rRNA from 1 species